GGUCAGUCCCCUACGUAUUAUUCUUGUUAAUAUCAUAUGGUAAAUAAUACACAAUAUUGGUAUCAAAUAUAGAAUUGACGAAGUAAUUUAUAGACACCCUGUAUGUUAAAAGGGUUCUAUUUUUCCAAAUUCUGUAUUGCACUUACUAAAUUUAAAAACAUUAUUUUUGACUUGUCGGAUAUAAUAAUUAUGAGCGACUGAGCAAGAUAAACUUAACUGCAACUCGAAUGAUAUAAAUUUAACAAAAUUUCCUUUGCACGAAUUCGUUUUAAUGUUUUUAAAUUAUGAAUUCUAAAAAGUGUGUCAGUAUUUGUUCUACAAGGUUUAUUAUAUGCAAUUCUUAACGAGUAUUUACAGAUGUUAAUAACAAUUUUAAGCGUACUUCAUAGGCACCACUUCAUGCGUAUAUUCCAUAAGAAUACACAGACUGUGUUAGGGCACAUAAAACCAUCCGCAUUGAGUUUGGUAGUGAAACACUGUUAAUUAUUUUGAACUUACUGUACAUAUACCUAAUUUUUUUAACUUCUAAAUCGAUGUGCAUAUUCCAUUCUAGGAAACUAUUAAUAAUUAUUCCUAGGUAUUUAACAGAGUUUUCGGACUUUAUGGAGGUAGAGUUACAGGUAGUUUAUAACUUUAUAGUCUAAAUUGUUUUAGUCAUGUUUUUAAUGCAUUUAUUAACACUUAACAUAUUGGCUUUAGAAAUAGAAAAGGAAUACAAGUUGUUUUGCUUAAAUUUGUUUCAAUAUAAUUUGCGAUAAACCAUAAACCAACUGA